rnacentral:rRNA from 1 species
CGAGAGUUUUUAACUCAGUGGCGGACGGGUGAGUAACACGUAAGAAUUUGCCUUUGGAGGGGGACAACAACUGGAAACGGUUGCUAAUACCCCAUAUGCUUUCGAGUGAAAUGGAUUUUUCCGCCUAGAGAGAAGCUUGCGGCUGAUUAGCUUGUUGGUGAGGUAAUGGCUCACCAAGGCGACGAUCAGUAUCUGGUUUGAGAGGACGAUCAGACACACUGGAACUGAGACACGGUCCAGACUCCUACGGGAGGCAGCAGUGGGGAAUUUUCCGCAAUGGGCGAAAGCCUGACGGAGCAAUACCGCGUGAGGGAUGACGGCCUAUGGGUUGUAAACCUCUUUUUUCAGGGAGGAAUAAAAUGACGUGUACCUGAAGAAUAAGCAUCGGCUAACUCCGUGCCAGCAGCCGCGGUAAGACGGAGGAUGCAAGUGUUAUCCGGAAUCACUGGGCGUAAAGCGUCUGUAGGUGGUCCAAUAAGUCAACUGUUAAAUCUUGAGGCUCAACCUCAAAACCGCAGUCGAAACUAUUAGACUAGAGUAUAGUA